UACGUAGGUGGCAAGCGUUGUCCGGAAUUACUGGGUGUAAAGGGUGCGCAGGCGGGGAUGCAAGUUGGAUGUGAAACCUAUGGGCUUAACCCAUAGCCUGCAUCCAAAACUGUAUUUCUUGAGUGGAGUAGAGGCAGGCGGAAUUCCGAGUGUAGCGGUGAAAUGCGUAGAUAUUCGGAGGAACACCAGUGGCGAAGGCGGCCUGCUGGGCUCUAACUGACGCUGAGGCACGAAAGCAUGGGGAGCAAACAGGAUUAGAUACC
rnacentral:rRNA from 1 species